UGAGCUUGAUCCUGGCUCAGGACGAACGCUGGCGGCGUGCCUAAUACAUGCAAGUCGAGCGGACAAUAGGGAGCUUGCUCCCUAUUGUUAGCGGCGGACGGGUGAGUAACACGUGGGCAACCUGCCCUGUAGACUGGGAUAACAUCGAGAAAUCGGUGCUAAUACCGGAUAAUAAAUGGAAUUGCAUAAUUCCAUUAUAAAAGAUGGCUCCGGCUAUCACUACAGGAUGGGCCCGCGGCGCAUUAGCUAGUUGGUAAGGUAACGGCUUACCAAGGCAACGAUGCGUAGCCGACCUGAGAGGGUGAUCGGCCACACUGGGACUGAGACACGGCCCAGACUCCUACGGGAGGCAGCAGUAGGGAAUCUUCCGCAAUGGACGAAAGUCUGACGGAGCAACGCCGCGUGAGCGAUGAAGGCCUUCGGGUUGUAAAGCUCUGUUGUUAGGGAAGAACAAGUGCCAUUCAAAUAGGGUGGCACCUUGAACG
rnacentral:rRNA from 1 species